rnacentral:rRNA from 1 species
UACGGAGGGUGCAAGCGUUAUCCGGAUUCACUGGGUUUAAAGGGUGCGUAGGUGGGCAUAUAAGUCAGUGGUGAAAUCCCUGAGCUUAACUCAGGAACUGCCAUUGAUACUAUUUGCCUUGAAUACCGUGGAGGUGAACGGAAUAUGUCAUGUAGCGGUGAAAUGCUUAGAUAUGACAUAGAACACCAAUUGCGAAGGCAGUUCACUACACGAAUAUUGACACUGAGGCACGAAAGCGUGGGUAUCAAACAGG